rnacentral:rRNA from 1 species
UACAGAGGGUGCAAGCGUUGUUCGGAAUUAUUGGGCGUAAAGGGCGCGUAGGCGGCUCGGCACGUCCGUUGUGAAAUCGCCCGGCUCAACUGGGCGGGGUCAGCGGAUACGGCCGAGCUUGAGCAAGCUAGGGGGCAAUGGAAUUCCCGGUGUAGUGGUGGAAUGCGUAGAUAUCGGGAGGAACACCAGUGGCGAAGGCGGUUGCCUGGAGCUUUGCUGACGCUGAUGCGCGAAAGCGUGGGGGAGCGAUCCGG